GGGGUUUUGUAAGAAAGGUUUUUCUGGUUAUUCAUAAUUUUCUUGUCAAAAUAAAUGUUAAGUUGAAGUGAUUUGCAUUGUUACAGGCAAGAUGAAACUCAUUCGGAGCGUCCUAUGGGCUGCUAAUGCUUUCAAAUUACGAUCUUCGGAUCAUCCUCAAGCUUUCAGGACCUUUUCAACACUCCCAAAUUUUGGUAUUCAAGGGAAGACUGAAAGCAAAAUAUACAGUAAUCAGAACUCAAUUUCGGGAACGAAUGGUUGCUCAACAUGUAAUGUUGGUAGGAGGUGUUUCUUACAUUCUGGUAGCCCAAAGGAAGCUGAAAUGGGAAACAAUUAUAGGCCGAUGGACUUUGUUAGAGGACUUACGGAGGACAAUGCAAGGCGUUUUCCGAGUGGUGCUCCACUUUCUAGGUAUCACAUUGAGCAGGAUGCUGAUAUUGUUCAUAUAAAGGUUCUUCGCAACAAUGCCUUUGUAACUGUGACAGAUUCGAAAGGGAAUAAAAAGUUUGGAGCUAGUGCAGGUAAGCUAACAGGAAAAGGAGGGAAAGUUGCAAGAUACUCUGCUGAAUCAACUGCUGAACAUGUUGGGCGUGAAGCCAGGGACCGAGGCUUGGGGUCUGUGGUCAUGAAAGUAAAUGGGUUUACUUACUUUAAGAAAAAGAAGCAAGCUAUUCUAAGCUUCAGAGAGGGCUACACUCAUUCUCGUGGAGAUAAGAACCCUGUGGUAUUCAUUGAGGACACAACACGAAAACCCCAUAAUGGAUGCCGCCUCACAAAGAAGCGUCGCAUCUAAUUGCUAAUCAGGUUGUGUUACAGGGAAUGAAAUCCUUUUGACAGUUUAAUAAACAGUCCCUGCUUGAUUUUGGAGGC
rnacentral:misc_RNA from 1 species